GAGACCUCAGGUCAGGCGGGACUACCCGCUGAAUUUAAGCAUAUCAAUAAGCGGAGGAAAAGAAACUAACAAGGA
rnacentral:rRNA from 3 species